AUGGCGCCGAGUCCGCCGGCGCUGGUCGACGACGCCAUGCGCGAGGUCUUCACGCGCCUGCCGGCGGACGACCCCAGGAGCCUCGUCCGCGCCGCCGCCGUCUGCAGGAGCUGGCGCGGCAUCCUCUCCGACCCCGGCUUCGCCCGCGGCUACCGCGCGUUCCACGGGGCGGCGCCCAUGCUGGGCUUCCUCCACAACGCGUACCGCAACGGCAACCACAAUGCCAGAGAGCCUGGACGAGGCACACCUUGA
rnacentral:rRNA from 1 species